rnacentral:rRNA from 1 species
UACGAAGGGUGCAAGCGUUGCUCGGAAUCACUGGGCGUAAAGGGUGCGUAGGCGGGUCUUUAAGUCGAGGGUGAAAUCCCAGGGCUCAACCCUGGAACUGCCUUUGAUACUGUCGAUCUGGAGUAUGGAAGAGGUAAGUGGAAUUCCGAGUGUAGAGGUGAAAUUCGUAGAUAUUCGGAGGAACACCAGUGCGAAGGCGGCUUGACUGGUCCAUUACUGACGCUGAGGUGCGAAAGCGUGGGGAGCAAACAG